rnacentral:rRNA from 1 species
GGUAAUACGUAGGGUGCGAGCGUUAAUCGGAAUUACUGGGCGUAAAGCGAGCGCAGACGGUUAGUUAAGCAAGAUGUGAAAUCCCUGAGCUCAACUUGGGAACUGCGUUUUGAACUGGCUAGCUAGAGUGUGUCAGAGGGGGGUAGAAUUCCACGUGUAGCAGUGAAAUGCGUAGAGAUGUGGAGGAAUACCGAUGGCGAAGGCAGCCCCCUGGGAUAACACUGACGUUCAUGCUCGAAAGCGUGGGUAGCAAACAGGAUUAGAUACCCUGGUAGUCCACGCCCUAAACGAUGUCAAUUAGCUGUUGGGCAACUUGAUUGCUUAGUAGCGUAGCUAACGCGUGAAAUUGACCGCCUGGGGAGUACGGUCGCAAGAUUAAAACUCAAAGGAAUUGACGGGGACCCGCACAAGCGGUGGAUGAUGUGGAUUAAUUCGAUGCAACGCGAAGAACCUUACCUGGUCUUGACAUGUACGGAAUCUUUCAGAGAUGGAAGAGUGCCUUCGGGAGCCGUAACACAGGUGCUGCAUGGCUGUCGUCAGCUCGUGUCGUGAGAUGUUGGGUUAAGUCCCGCAACGAGCGCAACCCUUGUCAUUAGUUGCCAUCAUUAAGUUGGGCACUCUAAUGAGACUGCCGGUGACAAACCGGAGGAAGGUGGGGAUGACGUCAAGUCCUCAUGGCCCUUAUGACCAGGGCUUCACACGUCAUACAAUGGUCGGUACAGAGGGUAGCCAAGCCGCGAGGUGGAGCCAAUCCCAGAAAACCGAUCGUAGUCCGGAUUGCACUCUGCAACUCGAGUGCAUGAAGUCGGAAUCGCUAGUAAUCGCAGGUCAGCAUACUGCGGUGAAUACGUUCCCGGGUCUUGUACACACCGCCCGUCACACCAUGGGAGUGGGGGAUACCAGAAGUAGAUAGGGUAACCGCAAGGAGCCCGUUUACCACGGUAUGUUUCAUGACUGGGGUGAAGUCGUAACAAGGUAGCCGUAGGGGAACCUGCGGCUGGAUCACCUCCUUU